rnacentral:rRNA from 1 species
UACAGAGGAGCCAAGCGUUGUCCGGAUUGACUGGGCGUAAAGCGCACGCAGGCGGCACGCGCGCGUGGGGUGUGAAAUCUGGCCGCUUAACGGCCAGCGCCAUCCCAUACGGCGGCGUGGAGCGAUGCAGAGGUCGGUGGAAUUGCCGGUGUAGUGGUGAAAUGCGUAGAUAUUGGGAAGAACACCGGUGGCGAAAGCGCCUUGCUGGGUCUGCACUGACACUGAGGGACGAAAGCUAGGGGAGCGAAAGGG